rnacentral:rRNA from 1 species
GUGAGGAAUAUUGGUCAAUGGGCGAGAGCCUGAACCAGCCAAGUCGCGUGAAGGAAGAAGGAUCUAUGGUUCGUAAACUUCUUUUGCAGGGGAAUAAAGUGCGGGACGUGUCCUGUUUUGUAUGUACCCUGAGAAUAAGGAUCGGCUAACUCCGUGCCAGCAGCCGCGGUAAUACGGAGGAUCCGAGCGUUAUCCGGAUUUAUUGGGUUUAAAGGGUGCGUAGGUGGUUUGGUAAGUCAGCGGUGAAAGUUUGCAGCUUAACUGUAAAAAUGCCGUUGAAACUGUCGGACUUGAGUGUAAAUGAGGUAGGCGGAAUGCGUGGUGUAGCGGUGAAAUGCAUAGAUAUCACGCAGAACUCCGAUUGCGAAGGCAGCUUACUAAGCUACAACUGACACUGAAGCACGAAAGCGUGGGGAUCAAACAGGAUUAGAAACCCCGGUAGUCC